CAAAGAUGGGCAACGUUUACCAACACGUGCAUUUCUCAUUUCCAGGGGAAUUAGCAGCUAUGAAGUAGUGACACAUUACAGGUGUGUAAGUCCAUAAUGCUUUCUGGCAUGAAAUUGAGAAGGGAAAAGCAGCUGAAGUCAUGAAACACAGAUUCUCUCCCUAACUCUGCCAAGCUUCUGUGUAACCACAGCCAAUUCAUUUACUUCCACAGCUAAAUGGGGACGGUCACUUCCUUAGUACAGCACUUCAAAUUUGCUGAUGCAGUGCUGUGUGACAGUGCCAAGGUAUUACUAUUAUUGAUAUAAUUUACUGGGAAAAAGGCGAUAGGUUAUUAAUACUUUACAAAAGUAAAAUCGGCUUGCCCCUUGAGGGAUUUUUUCCUCAGCUAUAAAGCAUUAUCCCUCUUCCUACGUAUUUCUGCCUGUUAUUCUUCCUACAAACCUUGCCUUCUAUUAUGCAAACAUUCAGAGAAGAAGACAGCCCUGAUUUCCUAUAGUAGAAUAGCAACAAAAUCCUGUCUAGUUGUUUAUCUACCCCAGCUGAACUCUGUGUAAGGCAGGAAUGCUGGAUGGGGUAACAAAAGGCCGAUCUGGGAUGAACUGAAUGUGUGUCUCCUCCCAGUCACACCUUCUGAGCAUCGACUGACCCUUGGGAAUCAUGGCCAUUUACUCUCAGCUGAAGCAUUCUUGGAAGCAGACCUACACUCACUAACACUCAGUUAACAAACUGCUUCAUUUCAGAUUUGGGGAAAAAAACCCCACAAAGUCAAUCAUGAAUCUUGCCUUUCAUCACUGGUAUUUUAAAAUGCAAACAUGACUCCUGGACUGCCUUUCUAUAGAACCAGGCUCACCAGAGUUCAUCUACUGUCAACCUUAACAGUGCCAUUUCCAAAAGAAAAUUGCUAGUCUUCUGAGAACAAUCUCACCAGGGAUGUCCUCUGUGUCAUGCAACACUGACCUCAGCUUCAACUUGCUACAAAACCAGUUAUCCAAUAGGAAGCUCUAACUUCAGCAGAAUUAAAAAAAAAUAUAUACAAAAAGACAACUCAGAACAUUUUUAUCCAACUGGUUUUUUCCCCCGAAACAGCUGUAGCACACACAAAAAUGUCUGCUGCUCUCCAAACUCUUCUGCCAUUUCAUUCUAAAAAUAGCUCCUGUGCAAUCAAUCCCAAUUGUUAAAGGGCUGGAGGAGCUGUGAGUCGAGGGCCUGGAGAGCUGCAAUUAGCACAGUAACUAUAGCACUGAGUGCGUAUCAAUUAAUGGCACCCCACUACUGUUUCAUAAUACAAAUAAUUCAGGAAAUGUAGCAAGACAGGAAUUACAUCAGGAAAUGUAGUUUAUAUGAUCAUUAUAUAAUUAUUUAUAUUUCUGUAAGAUGUGUUUUCUCAGACAAAUUAUUUAUUUAUUUAAAGUAUUGCUUAAAUAGAUCUUCAUUAAAGCUUUUUUCUGCCUCAGCCCCCUGAUUCAUUUCCAUCUGUUUUCAAUAUACUCAGAAAAGUUUCAUUUUUAAAAUGAUUGAGCCUUUUGAAAUAUAAUGAGAUAAGAAACCACUCAUAUUGGGGCAGGGAAAAAAAAGGAAAUCUUGUUCUCUUUUGGGGAUUUUUUGUUAAUGACCCAGUUUUCUGAACUCAAGCCUUGAACCUCUCCAUGCAUUUUCUUACUGGGCAGCUUGAUGUUUUACUGCUCUUCAAAAACAAUAACAGAUCUUCCUGUUUGUACUUAUCAUAGAAACCCUUCCUGUGGUGCUUUUAUUGUAAUGCUUGUUCCAUUAGGACUGCCUGCAUGAAUGAGGAAACUUUGGCUGAGGACUUGCAAGGCAGUUACAAAGUUUUAAAAACACACCCAACUUGUUUAGAAUAGUUUAAAAAAUCCAGGCUUUUUUUCAGUAUAUCACAUUUACUUGCAAUGCUUUUGCUAUAUGUGUGAUAAAUUUUAGUAUCCUCAGGUUUGCUAUUUUAUUAUUUCCUAAACUCAAGAUGCUAUGAACUGUUUCUAGGCUGGGGUUUUUUGGUUUGGGUUUGGUUUGGUUUUGGUUUUUUUUUCAAAAUACAGGAACUAAUUUUCAGAGAAGCUCAGCUUUAGAGUUUCAACCUAGAAGUCCUAAUGGCUUUAAGACCAUAGGGUAUCUGUAAUAUUUCUGUAUUAUUAGGAUUCUGAAUUGAAAUAAGGGCCUGUCUUUGCUCUGUGUUGUAAAAAAAUGCAGUUACUACAUGUCUGAGCUUACAACUGAAGCACUGAAGACAAAAGGAAGGAGAUGGAAAGCAGUAUUGCUCCUUACAGGGAGAAGCUGAAGGACAGAAAGAGGGUUUGUAAAAUAACAAAUCAAAGCAGGGGACACAGCUCCAUCCCAAUUUCAGGGUUCAGAAGAAUUACAGUUACUUUCAAGUAAAACAGUAACAACCCUGCUGUCUGUUUAAAGCUUAGAGUGGAGAUACUAAAAAUUUACAGAAAAACUGUGAGGCAUUUAUGUUGAAUAACUCCAAGUUGAAUUUUAACAAGUUUAAGGUAGUAUUCGCAAACAUUAUCUAGUGCUUCAAAAUGCUUUUUGAAGUGAGCAGGUAUUUUAAAGGGCGUGACUCUUCUGAAACAGCCACAUAUAAUUACAGUUUCUAUAUGCUGUAAGCCUCUGUAUGUAACUGCUACUUCUGGAGUCCUACCUAGGGCACGGGCAUCUUCACUGCAAAACAGACAAGAGCAUCACAGAUCUCGCCCUGAGAAAAGCUCACUGCCUGUUUCUGGAGCUCUGCAGGCAAGAAGCUUUCACCCAGAAAAGAAAAUCUUUUGCAGUCAGCAGUGCUGUGUAGCACUACUUCAUCUCUACUACCAAGAUCCUGUUUAGGAUCCUCCAUCCAUAGGCAGAACUCGGUCUCUGUUGUGGUCUUGCCACGUAGCUGGGACGGGCACCCUGACUGUCAAGUGUUCCUGCAGGAAGACGGCUCUUCAGGAGUUACUGGAGACAAACAGCUCCUGAAGAUACAUGGCAGAAAUGGCCGUUCGCUGAGAUGAGCUUGGCCUUGCAAGUGUUGACUGCAAUGGUGCCUCUGCAACCCCAGAUAACUUAAUUUCUAUUUAGAGGUAAGAUGCAUGUAGAACACCAACGGGAACAUUGUAUGAAAUGAUUUAAUCUGAGGGCAAUCAGGCCGAACAGACCCAUGAAUCAUUCAUAGUUGUUCAUACACAUCCGCAUUGCAAGAGUGAGUUAACUGCAAAGGAAAACACUACAGAUGGGGGGGAGGGUAAGACAGAGAAUAAGGUAGAUCAGUACAAUCAGCCUGGGGUUUUACAUGAGGUUUUAACCAGAAUUUAUUUUAUUGGCUACGGACCAAGUAAAAAAAAUAAGGGUUUAGGGCAGAAUUUGAGCUUUUAAAUCUAAAACAGAGAUGGAAAACCCCCAGUGAGCUGUGUCUAACCUUGCAUCAUGCCUAGAUUCCCAAACCACCUUUCCUAUUUUCUAAUAGGCUGUACUCUGCUGCGUAGAACCUCUCUGUGUGCCUAGGUCUGCACCAGUUCAACGGGACUAAGCAGCUUGGCACUCUUUCAUAUCUUAACUCAAUCAGGAACUAAAAACUUAGUGUGGUCUCCAUUCAGGUCUCCAGAGUGGCUCAGUUCAAGGGGUAAUCCUCAAACCCCUCUAAUGGAUGCCAGUCAGACUGAGUCUUCACAACUGCAACUGUACCCAUUCCCUCUAAAAGACAGUUUUAUGAUCUACUAGAGCAGGUAAAGCAUUUAUGCAGGAAGUGGAAGGUCUGAGUUCAGGGCCUGUUCUUUGCAGAUCAAAGAUAUCAGUAGUCACAUUGAUGUCUGGGUGCCUAAGUAUUCACAUGAAACCAGCCUCAAAGCUUGAUCACUCGCACUCUCAGCUCCGUCCCCUGCCCAGGGCACUCCAGAGCAGGUGGUGAAGCUCUGUACAAGGAUGCUUAAAUUAGUGUUGGUGUGUUCCUCUCAGAUCUGACUAACGCUGCGCCAUCAGAGAGGGCUGAGGAGCAGCAGAGUGUUUUAGCUGAGCUGCAGCCCUACAAUGGUGGUGUGUAUUGAGUGUAGCUGUGCCAGGGCCGCCCCCUUCAGCGUGUUCCUGCUCUUAAGGAAGCAACAACCUACAUUCAUUGUCUAAACUAUUUCAUUAUGGAAAACUGGUUAAAAAAAAAAAAAGAAGAGAGAUAAGUCAUGAAUUUUAAACAGAAACGUUCCUCUCAGCCCAGCAAUAGCUAUCGGGAGUUUGGAUCUGAAGCUAUCAGACUGGGAGGCAAAACCAGUACCGGCUGCUGGUCAACUGUCCGGGAAUGCCUUCGGUAAAUACACGUUUGGGAAUUACCGCUGGAUGGCAAUCUUGUGCCACAGAGGAUGUAACCACAUGUGAUUUUAUUUGGCUGCAAACACUGACAUUUUUUAAAGACCAGGAACCAAGUCCACUUCUUCCGAAUACCAUCAUAAAUUUAGAGUGAAUUCAUGUAAGGCAUUCAGUUUAAUUUAGAGUUGCACCAGCAUAACUGGGACAAGAAUAUGAACCAGAUGUUAAGAAGUGUUAUUUUGACUGUUAAUUCUAUCGAUAAAGUUCUGAACAAUUUAUGAAACUUAAAUACAAGGAGCAAGCACAGAGGCUGUAGCCACGAAAGACCAAGAGCACCGAGCUUCAAUUCUUCUGUGUUGUUACAGUCCACACUAAAUUCUAAAAAUUGACCUUUAAUGCCUUGUCGUACGCCAGUGAUUUUACCCUUAAGGCUGCUGUAUUAUACACACUGUUCUUUAAAGAUACAAGUAAGUUCUACUAUGACUGGCUGUAAAACAGGAAGUUACCUUAAUUUCAAAAGUCAACAUUUGAAGUCUUUGUUUUAAGGUUUCCAGUCUAUAUAUUUCAAAUGUUCGGUUUCAGUAAUCUCUAAUCACAAAUAUUAUGCAUUUAUUUUGAAAUAUUUGAAAGAUGCCUCAAUUCUUUUCACAUAGAAUAAUCCUUCUGUGAAACUCAACUUUUUUUUCAGAAAGUAUUUAGGUUUUUGAGAAGGAAUCAAUCUUGGACUAAAUCUGCAUUUUAAAAAGUGGUGAUUAUCUUAGCUCCCUGGUGGAAUAGCAUACUAUUCACAAUAACUCUUUAUUAAAGACAACCCAUUUGGCUUAACGUUCUGUACAGGUGUUGUGUAUCAAUGUGGUGUAUGGGAGAGUACCGGGAAAUUUCUGCAACUGCAUUUGAACAUCAGGGAAAUAUCUUCAUUAAAUUUGUGCUUCUAUUCCUUUUCUGUUGGCAUAGAUGGUGACACCUGUCUACCAUAAAGAUCUUCAGUUCUUCCAACCCCAAAACUGUACAGUACUCUAAAUGUUAGGAAUAUCUAAUAAGUUCAAGAACUCCUCCAGCAAAGUUGUCUUGUCCACCUUCACUUUCACCAAAACUAUCAAGGGAACUAGUAGUCAAUUUAAGCUGAGGCAUUUUCUAUUUUGGGGCUGGUAGCAUAUCUCUGGUUUCAGCCAGGGAAGGAAGUGCUCAGAAUGUUUUAUCACAGCCAGCUCUUGUGAUUUACUUGGCAUAUAUGGAAGAAGGAAAUUGUGUAAAUAUGGGCUAAAGCUUAUUCUUGGGAAAUUCACAGUUCCAUGGACUUGGGAUUUUUAAUGUAUAUUUGUGGUUAUCACUUGUAUGCUGUCACUUCAGUUCUCUUUUUGUAUAUGAAAAUAAUAUCCUACUAAUUCUGUGAUGCUUGACAGAAGAGUUUCUGUACAUGUGCUAAAUGCACUCAGAGGCAGACCUGGCAGGCUCAGGGUGAGAAUGUUUCAGCCCACUUUUCCUUCCCUCCCUGGUUUUGGCUUAUUCUGAGGGUCAUCAUGGCCCUACCAUAACUUGGUCACCCAGGGAAGAUGCUCUAAAUUAAGCAUUGACUGUAGUGGCUGAAUAACACAGUAACCUGAAUCUAUUCAGAGAAUAGGAUGGAAACUAUUGUCUUCCCACAUUUCUGCCCUUCCAUCUUUAUUCUGGGACUUACAGGAUUCACAGCUGACAGGAUGGUCUGCAGUUACCCUGUAAAGAACCUGAGUCUCCACAACAUUUUAUGUACUGUUGCCAUUCACUGAAUAGCUGGUAAUUAACUUAAUUUUUAAAGUCUAUUUUAUGGCAACACCCCAGGGCUAUGUUCUUAUUUGUGGUUUCUGUGUACCAGCUAUUGCAGAUAUUGGUAGUUGGAGGAGAGCGUAGAAGCUCUAGGUAGCACAAGUGGAGAAGUGGGAUCCAGGGAAAUUGAGGGAUUUGCCCAAGGAAACACUCUAAGUUUGUGGCAGUGUUAAUAUACCUGAUCUGAUUAUCUAAGUCUUGUAGGCACAAAUGCAUGUUCUGGUACAUGUAUCAGCCACAGAAAUGCUAAACUGGAGAAGGUAAUUUGGAAAAAUGAAAGGAGGUGGGGGGAAAAAAGAAAAUAAAAAUCAUGCUUGGCACUACUUGAAGACUUGCAAGAAAUUUCCAUUUUCCCAUUCUUAGAAUACUUUGGAAAUACAUAAGGCCUUGGGAUCUGUAUUUUAAAAUGUUGCUUCAAAAUGGAAUAGUAUCUGUUGAAUGUAGCCAAGAAACAUCUGUUUUUCCGUUCCUGGAACCCGGAGCUGAGGCAGCCGUUUUCCUGUCAGCUCUGCUGUGGAGCAAAAUUGGUUCAAUAGGUCAUUCUGUUCUCUCCAUUUCAUAGUUCUCAGUUUCCUGUUAAAAAGAUGGCAAACAACACAAGUAAGCAGAAAAGGAAAGGAGAUUCUGUGUAAUGUGUGUAUUAGCCUGUGAAAAAAAAAAUCCAUUUAGCUUCAAACUGAGUGAGGUAACUGGUGAGAGCAGAGCUAUUAAGCAUUAGAAAGAACACCAGGGACUGUAUGGAACUGCAAGAUUUAUUAGCCCUCAAAUGCCCCCAAGAUUUUUUAGCCCCAAAAUGGUUUAUCUUUCAUCAGUGGAAAUAAUAAUCUGAUACAAAUCCCACUGAAGACAAUGGGAAUGUCACAUUGAUGGCCACCGGGCUCUGGAUUUGACACUCUGUGGUAGAUGGCCUGGUAGAAACUGGUCACCAGUACACAAUAUAUUAAUUGCAAGACUUGUAAAUUAUGACCUGAGCAGCUCCAGAUUGGAUUCAGUAACUGAGGGCCAGCAGUGGUUGUAUAUAUUGUCUUUUCAACCACCUUUCACUCAGGUGGAGUCAAUCUGAGGACAGCUCAGGGGGAGAACCGGAGGAAGAAUUCAAAGGUCUCAUGUAGAGAAGACCAUAAGCAUAUUGUGUAGGUUUCACUUUUUGCAUUCCCAGCCCUCCAUGCUUUGACAAAGCUUUGGACAAACAAAUACAUUCUUGAGAACUGCGUAAUCUUUUUCCUUUCAUCUUAUAGGAACAGGAUGAAGAUUCAUAAAGGCAUUUAGCUGCUUAUACUCCCCCUGAAAUCAUCAGGCAUUAAAAGCAUAAAUAACAUUGAGAGCAUGCCCCAUGAUCUGAUAUUUAAUAAGCAAUGAAAAUCUGUAUUAUUCAGUCAGUGGCAUUAAAAACAGGAAACCAGUGCACUGAGGUGGCAGAACCCUCAGCAUGUUUCCUUACUGAAGAAUGGCAGCAUCCCUGUUUGAAAAACUACUGGAAAAAGACCUGCUGUGACCUUCUGUCAUGAACAUUUUGGUGACAUAAAAAAAAGCCAAUGGGCAUUUGAGUCCUAUUUCUUAUGCAGAUAUAAUUUUCCAUCAGUCACAUGACUUAAAAAGCAAAACUAAUCUGGAGGAAGGAUUUCUUCAUUUUUUUUCCUUUGAUGUGACCUUUCCACUCCAUGAAUUUAAAAUAGCAAGGAAGUGAGUCCUAAUCUGAGAAAGAGUUUGCAAAAGAGAAUUGGAGAUGCAGCACUUUCUGUGGCAGGGUCUUGCAAAGUGCUGAUGGUAUAAAUUAACUAAUGGGGGUCAGGAAAUUUGCAAAAGGCAGAUAGGAUGCAGGAAGGGAAGAGGGAGUUGUGCAAGUCACAGACAGUUGCAAGCAGUUUCCUGACACUAUUUACUUGGUAAAACAUUUUGUUUCCUCCAGAGAAGUGUUUGACUUUGCUUUCAUCAUCACCUGUGUAAGUCAAAUGUCAUUAUUCAUGUAAUCUCUGGCUUACACUGCCCAACAUUCCCAGUCUGAUACUGAAGUGACCAUUCCCUGGCUGGUCUGUAAUUAUCCAAAUCCAUGUGGUGAUAAGGUCCAUCCAUGCCCCAAAUACUACAGUCAAAUCCAUGCUUUCAUAAAGUAAGAUCUACUCUGACUGCCAAGAGAGACUGUGCCAUUUUACUUCACGAAUGGCAAAAAAAGUCAGUAAUAACAUAUGUAUAUGGAAAAUGCAGUUGUCAAUGGAUAGUUGGAAAAGGAAUGAUGCAAUUUACUCUCUGAUCCCUGGAUUUGUAGCCUAUUUUCCUCAAUGCCAUCUUCAUCUGCUUUCUUCAGUCUCAUCUGAUUUUUGUAUUUGCCAUAUAUGCACUCGUUGUGCCAGGGGAGGUUCAGGUUGAAUAUUUUAAAAAAUGUCUUCCCUGAAAGAGUGGAUAUGUUGGAACGGGCUGCCCAGGAAAGGUUUGGAGUCACCAUCCCUGGAAGUGUUCAAAAACAAGUAGACAUAGCAGUAAACAAUACAGUUCAGUGGGCAUGGUGGUUCUGGUUUGAAGGAUGGACUUGAUGAUCUUGGAGGUCUUUUCUAACCUUGAUGACUGUGAUUUGUCUAAACACAGUUACAUUUGUUAUGGGUUUGGCACACCAGUAUUUGGAGUUGCCUUGAUUUACAGGAUUACACUCAAAGGACCAGCACCUAUUACAGAAAACCCCUGCAUGCUGUGAACACAAACGUGCUUCUGCACUGCUUAAAUUGCACCUUAAUCCUACUGUUUCCUCCUGGAUUGUCUACUGGAGCUUUACAUAGGAACGAGGGACAUCUAGUGGCUUAAUAGAACAUAGCUAAGGAAAAUGUUCUGCCCAAGGUACGUUGUUGUCCAGAGUUCAGUGAAGAUUAAACUAAAUUAAAGACUUUCUCAGUGGUUGAAAUGUAAUUUAAAUAUAUGUAAUUGCUUUAAAUAAGAGUCAAUCUGCAAUGAAUUCUACUUUUGUAUUUCUGUCUUCUUGUGAAAAGGUGAGCUGACUUUGAAACUUGCACAAGUUAAUAUGUAUUUGGUACCUAAUUUCAGGGGGACAGAACAUCCUCUUUCAUUAGGAGAAGCUGGAGUACAGGACAGAUGGAUAAAAACAGAAGCAAAUCACACCACACAUCCCUAUACAUUUUUCUCCCCCAAAUGAGCACAUUUAUUUUAUGCAUGGCAAUUCAGGAUAUGAUUAAUUAGACUAGAUGAUACCUGGUAGAUUACAGUGAGAAGGAAUAACUGUGAAGAGCAGUUAAAUGGAGCCUUUUCUUUCUCUGCAAUGUGUUUCCUAUUUUAAUACUUAAAUAAUGAGUUUCUUUAACAAGUAACCCACUCUGAGUCAUGUUUUCCUCUCUCCCCUUUGUUCUUAUCCUAACCAAUAACUGCUUGUCAUCGUAAUAGCUUUUAUUACGAAAGAUGAGAUGCACAUAAGAGAAACGAAAGUAUCUGCACUGAAUUAUAUGCUGGCUUUGUGUUGUGAGCCCAUGUUCGUAUCAGGUUUGCCAUUCUGUCUUUUUCUGGUACGUACUGAAACUCUGGAUGGACUAAGUCUGUUAUGCUGCUCAGACCAGGGACAGUGCUUGGCCUCUCAACACGCAAUAACUAAAGUUGAGAGACCAACGUCAGGCAAUCAAGAGCUGUUAUCUCUGAAUGUCUCUCAUUCCUGUCCUAACUCCACAAAACAACAAAUUCAAGAGCUG